ensembl:lncRNA
AUCUCUUUCUGGAGAUCUGUCCUUGGUGAAGCUUUCCCCUGUGAACCUGGAGUCUUCUGGUACAGCCAUAAGUGAGAUGACUGACUUAAGAGGAUCACUGGCUAAAAAACCAUCAGAAAUCAAACUUCAGCAGGCAUGAAGAGUACAGUCAGUAUGAAGCAAGAAGCUGCAACCACAGAUUGGCAUGUCUUCAGGAAGUGGUUUUCUGCACCAGAGUAGAACAAAGUGUUCAUGUGAUGGUCCAAGGAGAGAGCUCCCCGAAGGCUUGAGAGUGAGCAGUCACAAAGCCUGCAAUAGAUGCUGUGUCUCAGGAAGUGGUGGGAUAGGGUGCAGCUAUAUGAUGGUACAGAAUACCAACCCCAAGAAUGAUGGAAGAUCCUCAGACUAGAAGAGCCACCCUCUACCCUGCUUUAACCCAGUGUGAAUUUUAGGCAGUCUGCUGACCAUCACUUAUCUGAAGUGGAAGAUUCACUGAAGUAGGCAGUUCUGGUGAUCUUUUAAAUUUAUACUGGUUUAGCUAGUCAUAAAAUAUUGCACAGGAUGGUAAUUACAGUAGGCUUGUUCUGUUACAGAUUGUGAUACUGAAGUAGUGUGGUUGCAAAACACAGACACUGUACCCUGCAAUCACCACAUCCCAUGCAGUACCUGCAUUAUGCCUAGCACGUUCAGUAAACCAAGAAGUGUGUUUAUCUGGUGAUAAUCAAAUCAAAAGUGUGUUAUAUUUGAGUAUCUUAUUGCAGCUACUAAAUAGCCUUCCCAAGGUUUAUUAAAAAAAAAAAAAUCUAUCUUCAAAAACACUUUGUAUCACAUCACCAUGGAAAAAGAGUUCAUCAGGAUUUUUAAAAGGACUGUUUGCAAUGCACCACUUUAGUUAAGCAUUGUAAUUUUGUAAAUGAACUCAAAAAAUUAUGAAUAAAACAUGAAAUGAUUAAGCAAGAUGAAUGGAGUGUUGAGAGAAGAUCCAAAAAUCUGUUUUGGCUAAUGCUUACAGCAUUAAUUCUCUGGAACUGCAUUCUUCACAUGCUACUAAAUGAAAAUGGUUCAUCCAUUCAAACACAGACACCGAUGUGGGAAAGUUUCUUCUAUGUUUUCAACUCUAUGUUUUCAACUUUUUCCAACUUUGAUUUGGAAGGGAGUGGCCAUAAAGGAUGAUGCGUAAUUCCAGCAUCUAAAUAAACUUAACUCUUCCCUCUGAAGUCACAGCAGGUGUAUAGAAUGUCGAUGCCAAGCUAGAAUGAAUCCGUUCUAGAGAUGUGGGAGUUUUAAUGUUUUCUUCUUCUCAUGAUAGAUUUAAGUAUCAGUAUCUUUGCAAUAUUUAAUACUUUUAAAAUAUCACUUAAAAGAAAUGUUAGUCUGACUUGGAUCAUUUACACUAUCCUGUAAGGAAAAGAAUUUCAGCUGUCUAGAACGCUUCCUUGUGGACUUCAUGAUACUGUUCUUUGAGAUUUUGCUUAAUUUUGUGUAUUCUAAUGGAUAUGUUGAAAUAACAAGACUGUGGGCUAGUUCUAAGU